AACGUUGCCUAUCUCCUUCGCUCCAUAGAUGCUGCUGCACCCGCUGAGUUUCUCCAGCAUUUUUGUGUACCUUGGGAUUGUUUUUGUUCAGUAGAGGAAGUUGAAGGGAGACAUAAAUUGAGUUGAGAUAUAAAUUAGUAGAUCUAAUAGAGUUAUGUAGAAGUAACUAUUUCACAUGUGGCACACACUAAAGGGCAUACAUUCAAAAUUAUUGCUAGAAGGAUUAGAGGUGAGAGGCAGGAGAGCUACAUAAUGGGAGAGAAGAUCAUAGGUGAAAUUGAAACAUAAAAAUAUAAUAUAUCUUAAUUAAUUUUUGGGAACUGGAGAUAAUUGCUGCUGCUAUUAUGUUGCUGAGACAAUGUGCCAAUCCAGCUCUUACCUUAAGUCUUUUGUGCUGGUACAUCAUUCUCGCACAGAUCUACAUGUUAUAGGUAUUUAAUCUCCAUGAUUGUUUUCUCUUCCCAAUCUUCAUUUAAUCCCAUCAAUAUGUUUCUUCAUUCCUCAUGUGCAUUUGGUUUUUACCUUGAGUUCACCUUUACUUUUCACCUCGACCCAUUUUUUUUAAUGGCAAGCUCUAAAUUCUUACCACCCUUGAAUUUUUCCUUUUAAUUCUACGUGGGAUAUAAUAAGGACAUUUUUUAAAUAUAUUUUUUAUAUGUGGUUUCCAGUUGUUAUCUGGUGACAAGUGGACAGAUAAACGUUCCCAGGUUUUGCUUCUGAGAUUGGUGACUCUUCUGGUAUGGGCCCAGGCUGAUGUUUGUCCAUGAUACACUUAUGCUUUUACAAAUCAAAGGAACAAUAUAAAAUGGCAUAUUUUAAAGAAAUCUUAAAAUAUUCUCCACUUGCUACAUGAUAUGAUCAAUCCUUUUAAGAAAAUGUGGGGUAGAAAAUGAGAUAAGGGAUUAAUUUUUGCAGAAAUAAGAAUCAGUGUGCCCUACUGCCCCAACUGACAAUGCAUUCUUGCUAUUUAAAAUAAUUUUAACCAUUAGAAAGAUACAGUAUUUAUGCAAGAACAAUGUUCAGGUCAAAAAUUAUGUUAUUUUUCAGUGUUCAUUGUUUUGCAUACAUUGAUCUACCUUUCAGCACCAUCUAAUUGGCCUUUUCCCCCCCAUUCACCCACCAGCUAAACUAAACAAUUUUGUUUUAAAAUGCUGAAUUCAUUAUUAUUUUGGCAACAUAUUCAAUAAUAUUUUGGAAUCGGCUAUGACCAAGCUAAAACAUACCUAGAAAUCUCUUCAGUGAUUGAAAUCUAAUAGAUUGAUAUACUUUACAUUGCAUGUGAGUUAAUUUAGCACUUUCUCUGAUCUUCUAGAAACUGGUAACAAACCAAAUAAUAACUGAGUGUGUGUGUAUGCAUGUAUGUGUGUUGGGAAAUAAUAAUUUUGAGGAAGGGCUAGGAUUUCUGGGAAUUUAGUUCAACGAAUGAAAUAUCAUAAUUU